rnacentral:tRNA from 1 species
GGGAAUGUGGCUUAGUGGUAAAGUGCUUGCCUUGCAAUGCAUGAAGGCCUGGGUUCGAUUCCUUAGUACCA